UAAAAGUGAUCAGUGGUAAGGU
rnacentral:miRNA from 1 species